GCUCAAGAUGGUGGCGCCGUGUAGUGCACGGUGGGACGUAAAAUAAGACCUCAUGGUCUCCUCCGCCGCGCAACAUAAUUCGGCAACACCUUACAAAUACAUUCCGAAACCAACACGCCCGAAUAUUUAAAAAAGGCUCCUCACGGCUGGGGCAUGAGGUCUAAGAAGCGGAAGAGAGAAAGUGCACGCCCCAUUCCCGUACGGAUCGCCUAGCGUCUUCACUAUCCCUACGUGGCUCAGCGCGAACCCGGCCCUUUCCGCUUGGUGGCUUGGAGGGCAGCGGAGAGGGAGCGUAAUUUCGUGGGCGCAACUGUGAGUAACGCUGCGUCACACUCCCUUGGCAGAAGUUAUGCCCGCAGCCAAUGGAUACGGGAUCCUUGAAGUAAUCCAGGCAGACGGCACACACCGCUUCCUCCUGAAGGGUCUGCGAGGCGUUGGGAGCAGCGGCAUAGCCAGCCAUCUUAACGCGCUGCCGGUUCGUAUGGAUGCGUCCGCUCACAGCUGAGAAGCGGGGGACACACCUGCAGGCCUGCCUCCAAGCGACGCUGGUGAUCCAAAGCUGUCCCCAACCCUGCUCUGCCUACUCGGGCCCUCAGAGAAGCCUUGCGCCCCUCUCUCAGACUCUCCCCAGCUUUAAGCGCGAAAGCCCGAGGCCCGAACUCACAGCUGCCCUCGGAAGGCAGUGGGGGCGGAACCAGCUGCGGCCCCCACCUCCCUUUGAGACUCAGCGUGCAAACUAGGAUCCCUUCACGUUUCUCGCCUCCCUUCCGGUUUGCCUGACCUGGCGGCUUCCGCCUCAGAAGCCGGCACUCCUCACCCCGCCAGAGGUGACCGAAAAUGAUGUAGGCGCGUUAGCCCACACUCGGGAGGGGGCGGACUGGGCGGACGGAGGGCCACCUCUCUAUGGUUUCCCCCGGAAACCGGAGACACGACCCCCGGAAACCCCUGCAGCCCAUCCAGCCGCCCCAGACAGGAAAGAGGGCCUGGUCAGAAUGGGUGGAGGCGGCGAGAGAAUCAGUUUAAGCCACUGAGCGCUCUAAUCAGCCAGAUGCAGAGGGUCCAACAGCCGCUCAGGAAAGCCCGUCCCCAGAUGGACCCAAAAGGGUAGGGACUGCGGUGGCUGACCUCUGGUACUCUCGUGCACUUCCGGCCCCUCUGCCCAGAGGCCUUUGUGGUAGGGAGGAUUCUGUCUGCACUGCUGCAGCGCUCGAGGGCGUGGUCUGUAGCAACCUGGCGGGAUCGAGCUCACUGCGCAGUUGGGUGGCGGUGAGAUCAAAGAAUCUCGCGUGAAGACUUGGGUGCUUCCAACUUUCCUCAGACCAAUUCACCCCUUUCUUGCUUUCUGCCCUCAGCAGGCACCAGCUUCGCCUGUGGAUCUUUUUACCUCCAUUUAUAAUCCUUCCAUUCACCAUCCACUCACCAUGCAUGCAUGCAUCCACCCACCCAAAUAACCAUUCAUUUUUCAUCCAUCCCUCUAUCUCUCCAUCCAUCCAUCAUAGGCAUGCAUAACCCAUCCAUCCAUUUAUCCAUCCAUUUUCAUCUAUCCACGUUAUAGGAACAAAAAAAUGAGUAAGGCAUGAUUGUUCUUUCAAGGAGUAUAGAGUUAUACGCGAGCGGUCAUCCUUCACCCAACGUUCACAAGGUUUAUUUUUUUCUUUUUUUAACUUGACCCUCAGUAAGAAUUACAUUGCAAGUACUGAUCCAAUACAGACUUGCACAUAUAUGACAGAAACAAAAUUGGGGGAAAUUGUUCUUUUCCUUAGGGCGUUCAAGUCACUCCGAUAUGUUCUGUUCUACUUCAUUAAGAUGCUGUUCAACACCCGUUGGAGUGAUUGCACCCCUCAAUAAUUGGUCACUUUGGUUUGAGGAACUCCACCUGCCCUAAUGGAAACUUCAACGAGCCCUGGAUCCCUUCCUUUCCCUCUCUGGGCCCAAGCUUGGACUCUUAAGUCCCACAGAGCAAGAAUGGUAAACGUGCUAUUCAACAUUGUACACAUAGCUCCUCUGUCAUAGUGCUGAACAUACAGCAGGUACUCCCUACAUAUCUGCUGAGUAAAUAAAUGGAACCCAACAAAUUGCUACCAUCAAGUCCUGCUGGUUUUUAUCUCCUCAGAUCUAGGUCUUCUCUAUCUCUGUUCCUUCCAGCCUACAUCUGACCCCAUAGCUUCCAAAUGGACAAGAAGUUUCCUGAAGGGUCACUUGGCCUCAUUUUAAGUCCAUCUUUCAGCCACCAGUACCAUUCACCUGAGAUGAAAAUCUGACACUCAAGCCAAGUUGUUGCCUCUAUGUCUUUGGGCAUGUUGUUCACUCACCUAGAAGGCUCUCACCUCACUGCUUCACUUGGACAUAAUCCCUAAUUAACCUUCAGGUCUCUGCCCAGGCAUAAUCUCCUGAAGGAGACUCUUCCCUGAGGCUGGCACCAGGCUAUGUUCACAUCCCAACUCUGUCACUCUCUGUAUGACCUUGGAUUAGUUUCUUAACCUCCCUGUGCUUCAGUUUCCCUAUCUGCAACAUAAAGAUGAUAGUAGCACACACGUCAUGGGUUGUUGUGAAGUUGGAUUAAUUGUAAAAUGGUUUGAACAGUGCCCACUGCAGUUAUCUUUUUAUCCUCAUCACCUGCCACUAUAUUCCUUUCCUGUAGUAGAUAAGCCUUAGAAGAAACUCUCCCUUAUCUCCUAUUCUCUCCCACUUUGAGUAGGGUCAAGUGAUUUGAACGCUGAGGGGAAAAAUAAUACGCCAUCUGUCAUCCUAGGUUUUUUUUUUCUUCCUGGCCACAGUGCUCGGGAUCUUAGUUCCCUGGCCAGGGAUCGAACCCGUGCCCCCUGUAGUAGAAGCUCGGAGUCCUAACCACUGGACCGCCAGGGAAUUCCCUGUCAUGCUAGUGGUUCUGAGAGCCUUUUGUCUGGAGAGGGAGGGAGUUGAAACCCAGGUCUGACCUGCCUAAGGUGGGACACCUAUUGGUGGUGUUUGUUAGAAAACUAGCAAGUAAACUCCCAUAUACAAUCUGGGAACCAUCCUGGAGGUCAUGACUGACCCUGAGAAGCCACGGGGAAAAUAUGAGCCAUGAGAACUGGAACUGAGUUUCAAGGCUGGAAUACUUCCCCAUCUCUGAAUGCAGGUUCUCCCCUACACAUGGAAGCGGGUGGGCAAAGAGCUGGGGAGCAGACCAAGGGAAGAGGGGGCUGCUUAUAAAAGUUUCUGCUUGCCCCAGGGAGCAGAGCCCCGGUGGGAAGGAGAGCUGGAGAAAGAGCAAGGGGGAAUGGGUGGAAGAAGAUGGUGAGAGAAGGCUUGUGGGAUCAUCCUGAAGGAACUGUCGAGACUUAAAAGGAACAUAGAAUGGACACUCAUUAUCAAGAAUACCUAGGUGAAUAAAGACCUGUAAAGUUCAAUACCUAUUUUAUCUUCUUUUUCCUCUGAAUUACGUCUCCUCAAAUCCGAGUGACAGCUGGGAGAGGGGCUUUGUUUAGAUUCCCUCCGGCUGUGAGGCUUAGCUGUUAUUUAUGCGGGUAUACGGGAGGCUUGGUUUUAAGCCCUCUUGCAAAUUCCGCAUCCUCGGCAACGAGGCACACUCUUCUAUUCAUAGGAAGACUGCUAGCCUUCUCCUGAACUCAGUUGGGAGCUGUGGGCUGUUGGCGUAGACCAUUUGGCACACACAGGGCCUCAGGUGCCAUUGUCCCAGGGGCACUGGGAAAACAGCUGCAGCGGAGGGCACUCAGGAACGAGGGCUCAGCAAUGGUGGUGGCUGCCAGUGCGUUUUUCUCAGGACUCUGAUUUCAGAAAAUGUAUCCAUGGAAACUUACAUCAGCCUUUUCAGGCUGAAGAACCCCACACAACUGCAGAUGAUUAAAUUCCAGUUUAUGGUGAGGAGGCAGGUACUUGUCACACAGACACUGGGGACCACUUAUCAGAGAGGCAGUCUAGCACGGGCUUGGUCACACAGGGGUUGGCAAAUCUGGCCCUCGGUUUCUUUUUGUGAGGCCCAAGAGCAAGGAACAAUUUUUAAAUUUUAAAGGGGUUGUAAAAAUAGAAAACAAAGGUGAAUAUUAGGACAGAGACUGUAUAUGGCCACAAAAGUCCAAAAUAUCUACUAUCUGACACUUUACAGGAAAAGUUUACUGACCCCUGUGCUAGGAGGCUGGAAUGGAGGACCUCCAGAAUGCCUUCUGAUGUUACAAUUCUGGUUUGUUGCUCCCCUCUGGGUUCAAGACGCGGGCUCGUCCCCAGCAUCCUAGCCCUCUCUCCUCCCAGUCAGAUUCCAGAGGUCCUGGCUGGACAGAUGCUUGGUCCGUAUG